rnacentral:misc_RNA from 1 species
AACGCAUAUUGCACUCUCUGGCCCUCCAGAGAGUAUGCCUGUUUGAGUAUCAUUAACCCUCUCACCUCCCCAAAGGGUUUACUCUUGAGGGAUGGGUGGAGCUGAGCGUCCGGCGCUGAGUCUUUGACUCGGGUGGCGGUCGGUUGAAAUGGAGUGCGACUGUACUUGGCAGUGUCUGCACUUGCGUAUUAGUUCUCGUUAGAGAUUCCUUACGCAGCGUGUGCAGAUAGCCUGCAGCAGCAACUUGCAUACAAGAGCGCUCUGGCAGUCGACAGAGUGGCUCAACCUCUUGAUCUCAAAUCAGGCAAGACUACCCGCUGAAUUUAA